UACGUAGGGGGGCUAGCGUUGUCCGGAAUCAUUGGGCGUAAAGAGCGUGUAGGCGGCCCGGUAAGUCCGCUGUAAAAGUCAAAAGGCUCAACCUUUGAAUGUCAGUGGAUACUGCCGGGCUAGAGUCCGGAAGAGGCGAGUGGAACUCCUGGUGUAGCGGUGGAAUGCGCAGAUAUCAGGAGGAACACCCGUGGCGAAAGCGGCUCUCUGGGACGGUACUGACGCUGAGACGCGAAAGCGUGGGGAGCAAACAGG
rnacentral:rRNA from 1 species